rnacentral:tRNA from 1 species
AGAGCGUGCUAAGUGGUUGAAGUGAUGGAUAAAGGUGGAUAAAGCGGUCUCGUUGACGAUACUCAUAAUCCUUUGGUCGACAGUUCAAGUCUGUCACGCCCUACCA